rnacentral:rRNA from 1 species
AUGGAGAGAGAAUCCCGUGCAUCGGCAUUGAAUGUGCAGAUGGGUUUGGUUGAAGGGAUUAUUGACAUCUCUGACAGUGAACGCAACGAUGAAGUUAAUUUUGAAGAGUGGUCUGAUCCUGAGCAUGCUAAACUGGUUGAGACAGAUAGAAGGUUGAGAGAGCAAGAGGAGAAAGAUGCAGAGGUCGUGAAGAUGUAUCAGGAAAUGUAUGGCAAAAAAGAUGGGCACCAAGAAGUCUCAGGCACGGAUAAUGAUUCACUUGUUGAGAAGCACCGUAAGUUAAGGGAGCAAGAGGAAAAAGACACCAAGGUUGCAAUGAUGUAUCAAACACUGUAUGAUCAAAAUGCUACUGAAGCUCAGAUCACCAAUGUGCCAGCAAACAGAAUUCUUGCUCAGGCGGCAAAACCUGCAGGUCGGGAAAGAAGCCCCAUGGAGGGUGGGCGUAGAGGACGGGGGUGCGUUGGUGGUGCCUCCAGGGCAGGGAACAUGAAUUCCAUGAAGUGGUCUUGGAGGCGGAAAGGGAAGAAGUCGGAAACGGGAUCCAAGGGGCAGAGGAGAGUGAGGUUCUCGAACACUGUGGAGACGAUAUGCCCAUCGAAAUCCUGA